rnacentral:rRNA from 1 species
GAACGCUGGCGGCGUGCUUAACACAUGCAAGUCGAACGCGAAAGGGACUUCGGUCCUGAGUAAGUGGCGCACGGGUGAGUAACGCGUAGAUAACCUGUCUUCAUGUCUGGAAUAAUACGCCGAAAGGGGUACUAAUACCGGAUAUUCUUGCUUUUCAUAAGUUAUGCAAGCAAAGGUGGCCUCUGCAUAUGCUACUGCAUGAAGAGGGGUCUGCGUACCAUUAGCUAGUAGGUGGGGUAAUGGCCUACCUAGGCGACGAUGGUUAGCGGGUCUGAGAGGAUGAUCCGCCACACUGGCACUGGAACACGGGCCAGACUCCUACGGGAGGCAGCAGUGAGGAAUAUUGCGCAAUGGGGGAAACCCUGACGCAGCGACGCCGCGUGAGUGAAGGGAAGGCCUUCGGGUCGUAAAGCUCCGUCAAGAGGAAAGAAGUGUACAAUGGCUAAUACCUGUUGUAUUUGACGGUACCUCUAAAGGAAGCACCGGCUAACUCCGUGCCAGCAGCUGC